rfam:Pyronema omphalodes CBS 100304, CBS100304, WGS project CATG01000000 data, contig: Pcon_v1_contig403
GGGUUUGUGGUUCAACGGUAGAACGCGGUCACUAAGCAUGCGUUGGGGCCGAGAUGUGGGUUCAAAUCCUACCAAACUCA